UUCUGCUGCUGACGCACAAGUGCACCAAAAAUAGAAAAAAAAUAAAGAAUUUAAAAAAUUGAGGGUUAAAAGUGGUGUUGGGAUAAAAAGAGAUAAAUCUUAAUUUGUUUUAUGAAUAAAUUCUUCACUUUGUUUCUUUAGUUAACCAAACAGUUAAAAAAUAAUAAUUCUAAAUAGGAUGUGACCCAUUGGUGGUAGAAAUUUUGGGUGCCGUCUCAUUUUGUGCCUUUGCAGUUAUGAUUGUGUGACACCCAACUGUCUCGGGUAUGAAAAGGAACCAUCCACCACUGAAAGAUCGACUGCACCUCAAAUUAUACCCACUGGGGGGGGGGGGGGGGUUGAAACCCGCUUUGACAACCAGUUUUUUUUUUGUUUUUGUUUUUUUUUUUCCCAUCUGUUUGCUGGACUGUAUUUCAUCCAGAACCAAAGUAAAUGGAAAUGGAUUCUAAUAUAUUUUAAAUGAACAAAUACAAGAAAAUAAACUAAUAUGCAAGUCAUGGUUUAAAUGAGUUGGUUCUUAAGGUAUGGGAUGAGAUUGUAAUUUGGCCUGGAUUAAAUCGGCUUUUCAGGUGUCAUGUACUUUUUAUAUUGUGUCGUUUUUGAGUGGAUCAGGGUUUUAAAGCUACCAGCUGACUCCACUCUGAGACAUGGUGAUGGCAGCAGCAUCCUGUGGGGAUGCUUUUCUUUCAGUGUGAACAGAUAUGCUUGUUAGAAUUGAUAAAGGGAUGGAUGGGCCAAAAACACAAAGCAGUCAGUUGUUUUUUUUUUUAAAUAACUAUUAGAGGUUGAAGUAGAUAUCUGACUGAGGCAGAGGUUCACCUUCCAGGUUGACAAAGUAUCUUCAUGUGUUAGAAUAGCCUAGUCAAAGUUCAGAGCAUGGACAUGCUCAGCUAGACACUAAGAGGUGCUAGAGCACCUGCAUUUUUUUUCCUCUGGACAAAAAAAAAGUGCCCUUCUGAAUUUUGUUGUUUUGGUUUCUGCAGUGUAUACAGAAACAAAAAAAAUAAUUUAAAUAUGUUUUUCAACAGUUCUCAGGGUUUGUAGUUAAUCUCACUAAUCUUCAUUCUCUAAGAAUAUCUGCCAUUUCUCACACACUGACUAUAUGCAGAAGUAUAUAUAUAAACUAAUUUUGCAUUACUAAGGCAAUUAGCGGUUCCAUGUUCCUCACAAGGUGCUCUUUUUUUCCACUUGAGUACCUGCCCUCCCAAAAUGUCUGGGAGGUACAACUGGUUCAGAACUAAAUCCAUUUGAGAAGUGAUGGCUGCACACACAUUGACACAGAUUCAGAUACUCUCUAUGUUAGAGUGCAGUUGACUCUAAAUACAUCUUGUAUUAACUGUACUAUUCAGUGGUGUUCUAUUUGUUAUUGUACACAUGUUGUCUGUCGUUAUGGUUUCUCUGCUUUUUUCUCUCUGCGGGUAUAGAAACAGACUUCUAGGGUGUUCUCUGGUAAUCUCUCUGUCCUUCUUUCUCGCCACUAUUCUUGCCUCUUUUCACCCUCUAAACCUUUUUCUGCCACCAUAUUUCAUGUCCCUGUCCAUUACAUUUGGAAUAAACCAAAAGUAAUUUCUAA